rnacentral:rRNA from 1 species
AGUUUGAUCCUGGCUCAGGAUGAACGCUAGCGGCGUGCCUAAUGCAUGCAAGUCGUACGGGGAUGGGGGCUUCGGCUCUCGUCCCAGUGGCGAACGGGUGAGUAACACGUAAGUGACCUACCUCCAAGUGGGGGAUAACCCCGGGAAACUGGGGCUAAUACCGCAUAACGUGUUUGGGCUCAGUUCCAAACACCAAAGCCUUCGGGCGCUUGGAGAAGGGCUUGCGGCCUAUCAGGUAGUUGGUAGGGUAAUGGCCUACCAAGCCGAUGACGGGUAGCCGGUGUGAGAGCAUGGCCGGCCACAUGGGCACUGAGACAAGGGCCCAACUCCUACGGGAGGCAGCAGCAGGGAAUCUUGCGCAAUGGGCGAAAGCCUGACGCAGCAACGCCGCGUGGGUGAUGAAGGCCUUCGGGUCGUAAAACCCUUUUCUCGGGGAAGAAGUCCUGACGGUACCCGAGGAAUAAGCCUCGGCUAAUCACGUGCCAGCAGCCGCGGUGACACGUGAGAGGCGAGCGUUAUCCGGAUUUACUGGGCGUAAAGGGCGUGUAGGCGGCCGGAAAAGUCCUUCGUGAAAUCUCUCGGCUUAACCGGGAGGCUGCGGAGGAUACUCUCCGGCUUGAGGGCAGCAGAGGGAGGUGGAAUUCCCGGUGUAGCGGUGAAAUGCGCAGAUAUCGGGAGGAGCACCGGUGGCGAAGGCGGCCUCCUGGGCUGUUCCUGACGCUGAGGCGCGAAAGCGUGGGGAGCAAACAGGAUUAGAUACCCUGGUAGUCCACGCCGCAACCGUUGGACACUAGGUAUGGGGGGUAUCGACCCUCUCCGUGCCGAAGCUAACGCGUUAAGUGUCCCGCCUGGGUAGUACGGCCGCAAGGCUAAAAUUCAAAGGAAUUGACGGGGGCCCGCACAAGCAGCGGAGCGUGUGGUUUAAUUCGAUGCUACGCGAAGAACCUUACCAGGGCUUGACAUGCCAGGAGUAGGAACCCGAAAGGGGGACGACCGGUAACCAGUCCGGAACUGGCACAGGUGCUGCAUGGCUGUCGUCAGCUCGUGCCGUGAGGUGUUGGGUUAAGUCCCGCAACGAGCGCAACCCUCGUCCCAUGUUGCUCUCUCAUGGGAGACUGCCGGGCAAAACCCGGAGGAAGGUGGGGAUGACGUCAAGUCAGCAUGGCCUUUAUGCCCUGGGCUACACACACGCUACAAUGGGUGGUACAAAGGGUUGCGAACCCGCGAGGGGGAGCCGAUCCCAAAAAGCCGCCCCCAGUUCGGAUUGGAGGCUGCAACUCGCCUCCAUGAAGGUGGAGCUGCUAGUAACCGCUGAUCAGCAUGCAGCGGUGAAUACGUUCCCGGGCCUUGUACACACCGCCCGUCACGCCAUGGGAGCCGGCAACACCUGAAGUCGGCGAUCCAACCGGGUUUCCCGGAGGUAGCCGCCCAGGGUGGGGCUGGUGACUGGGGCGAAGUCGUAACAAGGUAGCCG